UGAAAUGAUGACCCGACCCGACCCUUUUCGCAUGAUUCUAAAACCCGCUUUAAACCUCCCUCUCUCUCUCUCCAAUUCCUCUCCUCUCUCGCCACCUCCGACGGCCGCAGAUUAACAGAGCGUUUGAAGGAACGAAAUCAUGUUAAAACGGGGGAAAUCAUCGGUUUUAACUGUCGCUGAGAAAUGCAAGACUGUAUUGGCUUCCAAUUGGCAGGGUAAGCUCAAUACCGUCAAAGCUGAUUCCCACGAUAGGAGGAGAUUUACACUUCAAGAGUGAAAUAUUUUGUGAGGAAAGGAAGGCCGUAUAUUUGGGUGCCUGAGAAGGAGCUGCAUAAUGUGGUAACAUUUCUUCUCUGAUUGGGCGUUUACUUUGGA